CCCCCAGUAGCACAAUGGAUCAGUGCAUCUGGCUGUUAACCAGAAGGUUGGUGGUUCAAGCCCACCCAGGGACA